rnacentral:hammerhead_ribozyme from 1 species
CACUGCUGACGAAUCCCAAAUAGGAUGAAACAGCUGUCCAGGGU